rnacentral:rRNA from 1 species
ACAGGUGCUGCAUGGCUGUCGUCAGCUCGUGUCGUGAGAUGUUCGGUUAAGUCCGGCAACGAGCGCAACCCACAUCCUUAGUUGCCAGCAGUUCGGCUGGGCACUCUAGGGAAACUGCCCGUGAUAAGCGGGAGGAAGGUGUGGAUGACGUCAAGUCCUCAUGGCCCUUACGGGUUGGGCUACACACGUGCUACGAUGGCAGUGACAAUGGGUUAAUCCAAAAAAACUGUCUCAGUUCGGAUUGGGGUCUGCAACUCGACCCCAUGAAGUCGGAAUCGCUAGUAAUCGCGUAACAGCAUGACGCGGUGAAUACGUUCCCGGGCCUUGUACACACCGCCCGUCACACCAUGGGAGUUGGGUUUA